ACGUAGGGGGCAAGCGUUGUUCGGAAUUACUGGGCGAAAAGGGCAUGUAGGCGGUUUAGAAAGUUUGGCGUGAAAGCCCAGGGCUUAACUGGGGGGUUGCGUUGAGAACUGCUGAACUUGAGUUACGGAGAGGGAGCUAGAAUUCCUGGUGUAGGGGUGGAAUCUGUAGAGAUCAGGAAGAAUACCGAUGGCGAAGGCAAGCUUCUGGCCGAUAACUGACGCUGAGGUGCGAAAGUGUGGGGAUCAAACAG
rnacentral:rRNA from 1 species